CAGACAUUUUAUUUAUUUUAUUUUUAUUUGCUGUAGAGAUGAGGUCUCACCAUGUUGCCCGGGCUGGUUUCAAACUCCUGGCCCCAGGCAGUCCUCCCACAGGGAAACUCAGACAUUGUAAUAACUGCUGGCAAGCAUGGACAAAGGAAAUUCAUAAACACACCUAGAUUAACAGUCAUUUUAAUACUGAGGUAGUCAGUGUUUUCACAGAAUUACAGGUAAAGAUGGUAACCACGUUUUCAUUCCUGAGUUAAACAAGAAAGUACUCACGUGGCAUGAUAAAGAAUCCCUCCUCUAAACCAAUAACCAACAUCAAAAUUAGCAGUGGAAUCAUAAAGUCAUGUGUGAUAGAUGUUUCCAUUAAUGUCCCAGUAAGUCAGACUUUCCAGCAUCCGUGCUCUUGCUAGUUCCCUCCCAUAUUGACGUUGGUUUGGCUUUUGCUUUGCCUUUUGACCUCUUCUACAUCCCCUCAUUCACUCUGCUACUGCUAAACAGGUUAGCGGUGUCAGAAGGGUCUUCCCUCUAUCUGUUCGGUGCCUGGAACAUUCUUGCCCAGAUAUUUGCAUAGGAGCACAGCUGGCUCCCUCAUCUUUUAUUCAGGUCACCUCACGAGGCCACUCCUGUCUAUUUUAAAGCUGCAAGCUUCUUGGUUGCAGUUUUUUUUUCUUUUUGAGACAGGGUCUUGCUCUGUCACCCAGGCUGGAGUGCAGUGGCAUGAUCACGGCUCACUGCAGCCUCAACCCCCCAGGCUCAUGUGAUCCUACCACUUUGGCCUCCAGAGUAGCUGGGACUACAGGUAUAGGCCACCACGCCUGGCUAAUGUUUGUAUUUUUAGUAGAGGUGGGGUUUCACCACCAGAGGUGGGGUUGCCCAGGCUGGUCUCAAACUCCUGACCUCAGGUGAUCAGCCCGCCUCGGCCUCCCAAAGUGCUGGGAUUACAGGUGUGAGCCACCACACCCAGCCAGUCCUCUUUGUCUUAACCUUCACAAGGAAACUUUGAAAUGAUACCCACUUUUUGUUACUGCUUUCCUCAGGCCUUUUCUGUCUUUAAAACCAACCUCUUCUGCUCAGCUUAUUGAACGCUCAUUGUGGGGCCAGGGGCCUAAACUCAUGCCUGUAAUCCCAGCACUUUGGGAGGCCAGGGUUGGCAGAUUGCUUGAGUCCAGGACUUCGAGACCAGCCAGGGCGACAUGGCAAAACCUUGUCUCUACAAAAAAAACUAGCUCUACCCCAAAAACUAGCUGAGUGUGGUGGCACACACCUACCAUCCCAGCUACUGGGGAGGCUGAGGCAAAAGGAUCACUUUAGCCAGGGAGUUGGAGGCAGGAGUGUGCUGAGAUUGCAAUACUGUGCUCCAGCCUGGGCAACAGUGAGACCAUAUCUCAAAAAAAGAGGAAACACUCAUUCUGUUUCACAGAAUGGUUUAGAGAAUGGUGUGUUGCCUGAUUCUAUGAUCACAAGUCAGUUAAGAUCUUUAAAGUAAAUAUUAUUGUCUUUUGGUAAUAGCAAUUAUCACCAUGUAAUGUACUACUUUAAAUUUAUUGUUUAUUGGCUCCUCCACCUCCUCAGCACAGGUACUUUGUGUUUGUUUUCUCAUUUUUUUUUUUUGAGACAGAGUUUCGCUCUUGUUGCCCAAGCUGGAGUGCAAUGUCGUGAUCUCGGCUCACUGCAACCUGUUUCCUGGGUUCAAGUGAUUCUCCUGCCUCAACCUCCCAAGUAGCUGGGAUUACAGGCAUGUGCCACCACGCCCAGCUAAUUUUGUAUUUUUAGUAGAGACAGGGUUUCUCUCUGUUGGUUCUGCUGGUCUCUAACUACUGACCUCAGGUGAUCCGCCCGCCUCUGCCUCCCAAAGUGCUGGGAUUACAGGCGUGAGCCACCGCACCCAGCCAUACUUUUGUUUUAUACUCUGUUGUACCCUCAGCCUAGCACACAUUAGGCACCUAGGAAGAAUUUGAGAAACGAAUCAAUUAAUCUCCACUUUACCAAUAAUGAGCAAGAACAGAAAUUAGGGCCGGGCGCGGUGGCUCACGCCUGUAAUCCCAGCAUUUUGGGAGACCAAGGCAGGUGGAUGAUUUGAGGUCAGGAGUACUAGACUAGACUGGCCAAUAUGAUGAAACCCUGUCUCUAGUAAAAAUACAAAAAUUAGCCGGGUGCGGAGGCUCACACCUGUAAUCCUAGCACUUUGGAAGGCCAAGGCGGGCGGAUCACUUGAGGUCACGAUUCCAAACCAGCCUGGCCAACAUGGUGAAACCCCGUCUCGACUAAAAAUACGAAAAAAUUAGCUGGGCAUGGUGGCGGGCGCCUAUAAUUCCGGCUACUCGAGAGGCUGAGGUGGGAGAAUCGCUUGAACCUAGGAGGCGGAGUUUGCAGUGAGCCGAGAUCACACCACUGCACUCCACUCUGGGUGACAGAGCGCGACUGUCUCAAAAAAGAAAAAAAGAAGACUGAAAAAUUGGGCAACCUGUCCAAGAACACCACAGCGACAAUUAGCAAAGCUGGGAUUCCAACCCAGGUCUAUCUAAGAGCCACAGCAUUGUAUUUUCUUUUCUUUCUUUCUGUGACUGCACCUUUCACCAUAGAUGGCAUCCAGGACUCAGAGCAAUCAGCAUGUAGCUACUGUUUUUAAUAUUCCUUACAUGGGAAUCACAUAAAGAAAGUAAACAGUAUCCAAUUUGUGACUCAACCAUUCAUACUUUGUGACACUGGUUAAUUAUUUCACUUCUGGGUCUCAGUUACGCUUUUUUUUUUUUUUUUUCUUUUUGAGACAGGGUCUCGCUCUGCUCUGUCACCCGGGCUGGAGUUCAGUGGAGGGAUCUCUGCACCCUCAACUUCCUGGGCUAUCAAGCGAUCCUCCCACCUCAGCCUCCCCAGUAGUUGGGACCACAGGUGCCCGCCAUCAUGCCCGGCUGAUUUGUAAAAUUUCUUUUGUAGAGAUGGGGGCUCUCCCUCUGUGGCCCAGGGUGGUCUCGAACUCCUGGCCUCAAGCGAUCCUCCUGCCUGGGCCUCCUAAAGAUUCAGCUGCUUUUGGAUCAAACGAUUGGCUUAAGACCCUUUAACUCGAACACCUGUCACAUCCUAGGAUCCGCGAAGGACUGAAACAGAGUUUCUGAAGCGUCCCUCGGCGCAGUGGCUCCGCUCCACCUCCCAUUCGCGCUUCCACCGUGGCCUCGGCUCCAGGAGUCGCCGCGGUGCCGGCGUCGCCCUCCCGCUGCUGCGCAUCGGGAGCCGGAAGUAGGGACUGAGCCACAGACUAGGAAACGUUGGUUUCUCCGGGGCUCCCCAGCGCCCCAGCUUUAGCGCGGAGGCUACCCUCUUCUAUUUGCUCUUGGGCGUCAGAGCGGCACCCUACUCUGUGUAAGCCUUUGGAUCCCGCUCGCACUUCCUCCCGUCAUCAGCCAAAGGCCCCGGAAGUGAUGUUUGCGCGCCGUGCGUUACGGGCGUGCGCUGGCGGUGCCGGGGGGGCGGGGCAAGCAGGGGGUGUGUGUGAGGCUGGAGCGGACUGGGGAACCCAGACCUGCCGAGCGACGUGGGCGAGCGGUGACCUGGACCACGGCGCAGACGCGGGCGAGCUGCGGCUCGGACGCCAGCGGACACGCGGGCGAGAUGUUUGAAGUGAGGCCAGGCAUGUUGGCUCACGCCUGUAAUCCCAGCACUUUCGGAGGCCAAGGUGGGAGAAUCACUUGAGGCUAGGAGUUGGAGACCAGCCUGGGCAACAUAGCAAGACUGCAUCUCUACAAAAAAAAAGAAAAGAUUCUUGAAGUGAAUGUAUACUCAUUUCCUGGUUGUUUCUUUCUGUAAGGAUGUCUGACCCAGCUAAUUUGUAAACAGGAAUUCUGCACUCAUUUCUGUUUUUGCAUUCUCAACCCCAGUUGGGCACACAAGUGUUUAAUGAGUAUUUAACUGAUUUGAUAAGAAUAAAUUCAUUGAUUUCUUUGAUUUUUGUUGCUGGUUUUCAGUGAACAAAAUGUUACCAGUACUUACUCAUUGUGAUGUCUACAUAUACAACUAAGAUUCUGUUUACCUAUGUCAGUCUCUGGCUAGAGACAUAGAAUUUCAGUCUUGACUGUGUGAGUUUAAUUUCUGGCACGUGGGGUUUUAUUGGCUGCAGAGCAAACAUCUCUAGCAGAGAUGACCUAUCCCUCAAAUGUAGGAAAUACCUGUGUAAACCUAACACCUGUGACUCAGAAUAGAAAUGGUACCAAGUGGCUUCUUAGCCCAUCAGUGAAGUUACCGCAUUAUAGGCCAGGUGCGGUGGCUCACGCCUGUAAUCCCAACACUUUGGGAAGCUGAGGUGGGCAGAUCACUUAAGGCCAGGAGUUAGAGACCAGCCUGGAUCAAGACUGCGAAACCCCGUCUCUACUAAAAUACAGAAAACUUAGCCAGGCAUGGUGGUGUGUGCCUGUGAUCUCAGCUACUCGGGAGUCUGAGGCACAAGAAUCUCUUGAACCCAGUAGGUGG
rnacentral:lncRNA from 1 species